rnacentral:rRNA from 1 species
AGCGAACGCUGGCGGCAGGCCUAACACAUGCAAGUCGAGCGCCCCGCAAGGGGAGCGGCAGACGGGAGAGUAACACGUGGGAACGUGCCCUUCAGUACGGAACAACCAAGGGAAACUUUGGCUAAUACCGUAUACGUCCGAAAGGAGAAAGAUUUAUCGCUGAAGGAUCGGCCCGCGUCUGAUUAGCUAGUUGGUGGGGUAAUGGCCCACCAAGGCGACGAUCAGUAGCUGGUCUGAGAGGAUGAUCAGCCUCACUGGGACUGAGACACGGCCCAGACUACUACGGGAGGCAGCAGUGGGGAAUAUUGGACAAUGGGCGCAAGCCUGAUCCAGCCAUGCCGCGUGGAUGAUGAAGGCCCUAGGGUUGUAAAGUCCUUUCGGCGGGGAAGAUAAUGACGGUACCCGCAGAAGAAGCCCCGGCUAACUUCGUGCCAGCCGCCGCAGUAACAC